rnacentral:rRNA from 1 species
AACGAACGCUGGCGGCAUGCCUAACACAUGCAAGUCGAACGAGACCUUCGGGUCUAGUGGCGCACGGGUGCGUAACGCGUGGGAACUUGCCCUUAGGUUCGGAAUAACUCCCCGAAAGGGGUGCUAAUACCGGAUAAUGUCUUCGAACCAAAGAUUUAUCGCCUUUGGAUGGGCCCGCGUUGGAUUAGCUAGUUGGUAGGGUAAAAGCCUACCAAGGCGACGAUCCAUAGCUGGUCUGAGAGGAUGAUCAGCCACACUGGGACUGAGACACGGCCCAGACUAAUACGGGAGGGAGCAGUGGGGAAUAUUGGAAAAUGGGCGAAAGCCUGAUCAAGCAAUGCCGCGUGAGUGAUGAAAGCCUUAGGGUUGUAAAGCUCUUUUACCCGGGAGGAUAAUGACAGUACCGGGAGAAUAAGCUCCGGCUAACUCCGUG